GACGUAGGAGGCGAGCGUUGUCCGGAUUCAUUGGGCGUAAAGAGCGCGCAGGCGGCUUGGUAAGUCGGAUGUGAAAUCCCGAGGCUCAACCUCGGGUCUGCAUCCGAUACUGCCCGGCUAGAGGUAGGUAGGGGAGAUCGGAAUUCCUGGUGUAGCGGUGAAAUGCGCAGAUAUCAGGAGGAACACCAGCGGCGAAGGCGGCGCUCUGGGCCGGAACUGACGCUGAGGAGCGAAAGCCAGGGGAGCAAACGGG
rnacentral:rRNA from 1 species